rfam:Xanthomonas translucens pv. undulosa strain Xtu 4699, complete genome.
CACCCAACGUGGCAUUGCGUCAGGGGCGUACGACUGGAAUUGGAACAGGGGCCAGUCACGCGCACGUUGGGGGAGCUGGGGGCCGGUAGUCGGGGGACUGCCGGCCCUUUUUUA